CAAGCCAUGAUGUGCUCAACUGAUUGGCCAAGCUAACCCUCAAAGUUGACCCUUUGUCUCACUGCAUGUUCUCAGUCUGCACACAUUUCCUACACAGACAAGUUGACAGGUGAAAUCAUCUAAAAUCAGGUUAGUUUAAUAUAGAUUUGUAUUGUAUGUUAUUGCAGUUAAAUGUUGCAGUAUAUUAAACCUAUAAUACUAAACUUACCUAAACGUGUUUAAUAUUAUCAUAUUCUCAGUUACAAUCUAUUUAAAUAAAUGUGGUAAACAAGACUUAUAAAUGUAAGCUUUGGUAAUUACUAAUAUAUCACUUUUCUGUCUCUUUAUUCUUGUAUGUAUGAGGAAGAAUGUAUGUGUUGUUUUAUGGAAUAGGCUAUGUUUUAAAUGCUUUUGUGAUCAGUUCUGUAUAAUCUACAGUCUGUACUAUACGGGAUCCGGAGAAAUAUUUUAACGUGUAUGUAAAUAGUUGUAUUAGUCAUUGUUAUAAACAUAUAUGUUUUAUUCAGAUAUCCGGAAUUAUAAGUUGCGGCGCUAGUCGGGAAGACACCCCAGUCUCACCCACAGGGGUGUAUAUCCUAGAUAGAUAUAAAUAUGACAAAUCCAUUGGCCGAAUAAACGUCUCUCACCCGUA